rnacentral:rRNA from 1 species
UAAUAUUAAAGUUCGUCGUGUGCCGCCCGGCAACGGGAAGGACCUUCCCCAGAACGGGGACACGGAACGGAGAGAGGUGCCUGCCGCGCCUCGUGCAUUAGCUGAGGCUCUCGGGAUUAGAUUAGAAUUUGUUAGGGACGUCUCUUCGGCAGUAACUUCGUCCCAGGAACGCUGCCAGUUUUGUUUCAUCGCCCACGGGCGUGAGAGCUUUUCGGAAACUUUAUUACAGGAAGUUCCGUCG